rnacentral:rRNA from 1 species
GCCGCCGAGCCCGCCGGAGGAAUCCAAAAAACCAUCGCUUUCAGUACCGGCCUCUCUGAGUUACUGUACUUUUAAUUAAGUCAAAACUUUCAACAACGGAUCUCUUGGUUCUGGCAUCGAUGAAGAACGCAGCGAAAUGCGAUAAGUAAUGUGAAUUGCAGAAUUCAGUGAAUCAUCGAAUCUUUGAACGCACAUUGCGCCCGCCAGUAUUCUGGCGGGCAUGCCUGUUCGAGCGUCAUUUCCACCAUCAGGCCCCCGGGCCUGUGUUGGGGACCUGCGGCUGCCCGCAGGCCCCGAAAUUCAGUGGCGGUCGCGCCGUAGCAACCGAGCGUAGUAACUAAAACGUCUCGCUCUGGCUCGCUGGGCGCGCUCCGGCCGUAAAACACCCCCCCUUUUCGCAAAGGUGACCUCGGAUC